AGAGUUUGAUCCUGGCUCAGAUUGAACGCUGGCGGCAGGCCUAACACAUGCAAGUCGAGCGGUAGAGAGAAGCUUGCUUCUCUUGAGAGCGGCGGACGGGUGAGUAAUACCUAGGAAUCUGCCUGAUAGUGGGGGAUAACGUUCGGAAACGGACGCUAAUACCGCAUACGUCCUACGGGAGAAAGCAGGGGACCUUCGGGCCUUGCGCUAUCAGAUGAGCCUAGGUCGGAUUAGCUAGUUGGUGAGGUAAUGGCUCACCAAGGCUACGAUCCGUAACUGGUCUGAGAGGAUGAUCAGUCACACUGGAACUGAGACACGGUCCAGACUCCUACGGGAGGCAGCAGUGGGGAAUAUUGGACAAUGGGCGAAAGCCUGAUCCAGCCAUGCCGCGUGUGUGAAGAAGGCCUUCGGAUUGUAAAGCACUUUAAGUUGGGAGGAAGGGCAGUUACCUAAUACGUGACUGUCUUGACGUUACCGACAGAAUAAGCACCGGCUAACUCUGUGCCAGCAGCCGCGGUAAUACAGAGGGUGCAAGCGUUAAUCGGAAUUACUGGGCGUAAAGCGCGCGUAGGUGGUUUGUUAAGUUGAAUGUGAAAUCCCCGGGCUCAACCUGGGAACUGCAUCCAAAACUGGCAAGCUAGAGUAUGGUAGAGGGUAGUGGAAUUUCCUGUGUAGCGGUGAAAUGCGUAGAUAUAGGAAGGAACACCAGUGGCGAAGCGACUACCUGGACUGAUACUGACACUGAGGUGCGAAAGCGUGGGGGAGCAAA
rnacentral:rRNA from 1 species